GCCCGCCCAGCGCGCGCUUAUCGCGGCUGCCCAGGCGCCGCGCCCCCGCCCCGCCUCCCCGCGCCCCGGGGUCUCGAGUCCCCGCCGCCGCCGCGGGCUUCGGGGCGCAGGGCGGCCUGGAGGCCGAGAUAAUAAACAGCCGCCAGGACAACAGUACGUUCGCGUGCGGACGACGCGGAUCAACCGUCCGCGGCCGCAGGUGCUGCGGACCGAGACGCCGGCAGAGCGCUCCCAACCGCUUGGGGCUGCGGCCGCCCCGAGGGCGCCCGACUUCUUUGUCCUGGAGGCGGCGGGCCGGGCCUGGGCCGCGGGCGGGGGGCGCAGGGACCGGGGGGAAGGGCAGGGGGGGAUCGGGGUCCGGGGGCGGGGGCGCAGGGACCGGGACGCGCAAGGACUAGAGCGUGCGGGGACUGGGGCGGGGAGAGGGGGGCACGGGGUCCCGGGCUCCUGUCCCGCGACGGCCGCGGGGGCGGAAGCGGGGGCUGGAGGUGCCAGGGACCAAAAACUCUUAGACGCUGAGCCUCCGCCCGCAUCCCACGAGUCUGGUGUUAAUUGGCGUCCACAUCGCCAAUCAUUACGUUAACUCCGGAUACGGUGUGGAUCCUAAACCCUUUUUUCCUCCAAGUUAUCAUCACUGGUUAGUUGGUUUGCUUCCUUUGAGAUCGAGAAUUUAAAGAAGUCCAUUGAAGUUCCCCAUUUUGCAGUGUGGUCUUAAAGUAUUUCUUAACCCGACUACUAGGUUAACCUAACCUACCAGAGACAACAGACAGCGUGUAUACUUGGGAGUGGAGAAUUUCCGGGGUUUGCUCUCCGAGAGAUGCUUGUCAGCCACAACUGGCCAGAUGUGGCUUCGUGGAACAGGCAACGAAGACCUCACUUACAGAGCCACGUCUUGGUGCUUGUAGCCGCGAGUGGCACAGUCCCCCUCCCCCGUUUGCAAGGAAGAUGAGAAGUGGAGGGGCCGGGAACCCCACACCGGAAAUAACAGGAUCCUCCCUGCGGAUCCCUCACCGCCCUUCUUCGGUCCUGCUUCCCAGAGGAUCUGGGCUGUUAGGACUAACAAUUCUCGUAGGAAGUAGGUCUAGGCCCCGUACCACGUGGCGUGAGGACGUCCAGUUGGACCCAUCUGGUGUUGUUUUCGGGAACACGCUGCCACACCCUGGUUGCUGCAGAAAACUUUUCAUCAGGUGGAAAUCCCCCGGGGGCCACCUGAUAUCACAUUUCUACGGAGGUCUGAUCUGAAUCGUUUCUGUUCACGCCGAAGCGGAGUUCAUGGUGACCGUGAGGGAACAGCUAUGUCCGUCUCGAUACUGACCGUCUUCAUUUUUAUUUGAAACACAUUCGUGUAUAUCUGUAGCACUUCCCUGGUUUUUCUCAACGUCUCACUAGCACAAGGGGAGGCUUUGAAUGAAUUGAUCCAAAUACCACGCUCUCCUCAGCCUUAACGGAAUCUCUUAAUCCAUGUAGUAUGAAUAUGUGAUUUUUUUUUUCUGCCCAAAUACUCAUGCUACACGCUCCUGAGAGCUGCUGGGUCAGUACUCGAGCCGACUCUGCGACCUCCAGGUAACCCGUGUUGGCAUCACACGCCAUCCGUCUGAGAGAAUCACACGGAUUUUUAGUCAUUUAUGUCGGUGUGUGUUCUGAGUAAAAUGCAAGAUAUUACUGCGCUCCAAACAGGUUUUAGGUUGUACAAUCAAUUAGGAUGUUCUUGCUUCAAAUAAGUGAAGAAACUUAAAA